GCCUCUUUGGCUCAGUUGGUAGAGCGUCACAUUGGUAUCUUGAACAAAAAUGUGGAGGUCCGGGGUUCAAAUCCCCGAAGAGGCU
rnacentral:tRNA from 1 species